GCGGAUGUAGUGUGCGGUGCACCACUGCUCUCUAUGAAGUGGUUCUGGGUUACGUUCGAAGCAGUCUGACGGGGUUCGAUUCUCUGCGUCCGCA